GAUGAACGCUGGCGGCGUGCCUAAUACAUGCAAGUCGAGCGAAUGGAUUAAGAGCUUGCUCUUAUGAAGUUAGCGGCGGACAGGGGAGUAACACGUGGGUAACCUGCCCAUAAGACUGGGAUAACUCCGGGAAACCGGGGCUAAUACCGGAUAAUAUUUUGAACUGCAUGGCUCAAAAUUGAAAGGCGGCUUCGGCUGUCACUUAUGGAUGGACCCGCGUCGCAUUAGCUAGUUGGUGAGGUAACGGCUCACCAAGGCAACGAUGCGUAGCCGACCUGAGAGGGUGAUCGGCCACACUGGGACUGAGACACGGCCCAGACUCCUACGGGAGGCAGCAGUAGGGAAUCUUCCGCAAUGGACGAAAGUCUGACGGAGCAACGCCGCGUGAGUGAUGAAGGCUUUCGGGUCGUAAAACUCUGUUGUUAGGGAAGAACAAGUGCUAGUUGAAUAAGCUGGCACCUUGACGGUACCUAACCAGAAAGCCACGGCUAACUACGUGCCAGCCGCCGCGGUAA
rnacentral:rRNA from 1 species